UUAUUAUAGCAAAGAGGAUACACCUGUUCCCAUACCGAACACAGAAGUUAAGCUCUUUAGCGGCGAUGGUACUUGGUGGGCGACCGCCUGGGAGAGUAG
rnacentral:rRNA from 1 species